UUUGAUGGCGACCGGCGCACGGGUGAGUAACACGUAUCCAACCUGCCGAUGACUCGGGGAUAGCCUUUCGAAAGAAAGAUUAAUACCCGAUGGCAUAGUUCUUCCGCAUGGUGGAACUAUUAAAGAAUUUCGGUCAUCGAUGGGGAUGCGUCCCAUUAGGUUGUUGGCGGGUAACGGCCCACCAAGCCUUCGAUGGAUAGGGGUUCUGAGAGGAAGGUCCCCCACAUUGGAACUGAGACACGGUCCAAACUCCUACGGGAGGCAGCAUG
rnacentral:rRNA from 1 species